rnacentral:sRNA from 2 species
UUGAAAAAUGCGCUGAAUCUCUUAUUAAAAAGAGAGCGGGGGAACCGAUUUUAUUGGGGUGAAACCGAUUUUGGUAGGGAAUUCCCUUUUCCCGAAUCCGUCAGCUAACCUCGUAAGCGCCGAAAGGGAAUCC